UAUUUAUGAUGAUUGAUUUCUGAUUUUCGUUUUUUUAUAUGUUAUAUAAUUUCUGUGGAAACGAAACGAUAGAGCGAGACAUAGAUGGUGAAGACAGAGAAAAUAGCCAGGGUAGAGAAGAAGAAGAAAGGAUCACGAUCCACUAAUUUCACAGACCUACGACGAUCAAUUCCAUGAAGCAUAGAAAUUUGUAGUCGAAGAUCCAUCCAGAGGAGGUCAUGACUGCCACUUGCAUCUUGCAUGUGUCUGAAUACACUUGCCGUAUCCAAUUUUAUUUAAACAUCCUUUUUUUCGUCUCUUUGCAGUUUUGAGGAAAGUUGUGGAGACCAAAAACUCCAGAAGGAAGACAUAUAUAAUCAUGAAGAUGUGAAACACAAGUGAUGGCAGCAGAGAAGUCAGGGAACCAUUGGUGGACAAGGAUAUGGCUGAAUCAAAGCCGAAGCAGCCGUGGAUGGUUAAUCUUAGCACCUUUGUUGUAGUUUGUGGUUCUUUAGCUUUUGGUUCUUGUCCGGGAUACUCCUCACCUGCUCAGGCUGCAAUUAGGAAUGAUCUUUUUCUGACUAUAGCUGAGUUUUCACUCUUUGGUUCUUUACUGACUUUUGGUGCAAUGAUUGGUGCUAUCACAAGUGGGCCUAUACCUGAUUUAGUUGGAAGAAAAGGUGUCAGGGAAAAAAAUUGAAAGUUUCCAUCAGAGUUGGCUUUGUGAUAGUAUAUAUGCCUAUACUACUUGUGGAUUUGUUGUAUCCAGGCGAUGAGAGUUUCUUCUGCUUUUUGUGUCGUCGGUUGGCUAGCAAUCUUCUUUGCUAAGGCCUGACUCAAGAUUCUAAACCAAAAUGUAUAUGCUGGUAUUCAAUUUUUGCAUAAUGUAUCUCUCUCUUUGUGUUAAAUGGUGUCCUUAUCAAAGGGAGUAGUGGCUCUGGAUCUCGGAAGACUGGCAACGGGUUAUGGAAUGGGAGCAUUCUCCUAUGUGUUGAGCCCAUCGAGGCAGGUGCCAAAGCUUAUAUUUUUGCUGGUGGUGCAACUGCGGAGCACCUUGCUGCUGAUAUUGGAGAUCUUGUGUUAAUCAACUGUUUACUUAAACUGGACGUGAUCCUAAUCAGAAAGACGAGGAACUCUCGUAACAAUUAGCUUUUUAAUGAUGAACACAUACCCUCAUAUGGCUGUGAUUUUCAGGAAGGCAAUAGGCCAUUAGAAGUUGCAGCUCUAAGAGAGAACAAAAAGAUUGUGGAGACUCCUCCCAUUGACAACAAAGUCUGAAACUGUUUCAGACUGGACAUUUGUUGGAGUUCUACCUCACAUAGAAUCAAAAAAAGAACAGGAGGAAAACUCAAUCAAGUCAAAAUCCUUAGAGGCUGUGAUUAAGAAAGACCUUCCUGAGCAAAAUCAAAGGACAUAGCAAGGUCGCUGUCACCUUCAUUCGCCCCAGAGAUCCUUGUGUGCAGUGUGGAUGCUGCUUGGAACUCCAGCUCGAAACGUUGUGGGGCCAGGUUCGGAUUUGGAUUCGGGUAUCGGGUAAAAGUGUCCAGCCUUACAAGGAACAAUGAAGUCUUCGUGCAAGGAGCAAUGGAGCAUCACGUGCUUGAAGUCAGGGCUGGCUUACACCAUGGGGCAAGAAGGCAUGGGCUCCGGAAUCCAAAAUUUUUUCCAUAAAUAAUACUAAAAGGAAGUCCACUUUUUUUUUCAAAAAAAAAUUAGAUAUAAGAGCAUCUGCAUCAGUGAAUUCCAUGGGGAGUUCACACAGUUUUUUUUUUAAAAAGUAUUAAAAUAAACAAAAGAAGUGAAUUUGUGUUCAUGGGGUCACUGCACUGAACCCGGAUCAUCACUGUAACGCGGGCUUCACGACACGUGCUGACCCACGAUUAAUCCGAUUAAUUAAUUAA